CAGUCGCCGCGGGAAUACGUAGGUCCCGAGCGUUGUCCGGAUUUAUUGGGCGUAAAGCGAGCGCAGGCGGUUUGAUAAGUCUGAAGUUAAAGGCUGUGGCUCAACCAUAGUUCGCUUUGGAAACCGUCAAACUUGAGUGCAGAAGGGGAGAGUGGAAUUCCAUGUGUAGCGGUGAAAUGCGUAGAUAUAUGGAGGAACACCGGUGGCGAAAGCGGCUCUCUGGUCUGUAACUGACGCUGAGGCUCGAAAGCGUGGGGAGCGAACAGGAUUAGAUACCCGGGUAGUCCCUGUCUCUUAUACA
rnacentral:rRNA from 1 species